UAAGAGUUUGCAGCUGUCGGAUCUUUCUCUCUCUCUAAAGGCCACCACUUUUUGCCCUUUCUUUUUAAUUUAACCAACCCAGACCAAUUUGUUGUCAAGAAACUCAUCAAGUAAUAAACAGCAUCAUAGACUGGCUGCAUCUAUCAUUUUCUUUGUCUAAAAUCUCUCGUAAUGAUUCUUAGUUGAUGAUUGAAUAUAGAGGCACGCACAUAGAGUAGAAGCGCAGACAAUAUAA
rnacentral:misc_RNA from 1 species